rnacentral:rRNA from 1 species
UAACUGCUUGGGAAUCUGCCCAUUAGUGGGGAACAAGCAGCGAAAGGUUGGCUAAUACCGCAUACGCCCUACGGGGGAAAGCGGGGGAUCGUAAGACCUCGCGCUAAUGGUAUGAUGCCCAAUGUCGGGAUUAGGCUUGUUGGUAGGGUAACGGGCUAUCCAAGGCGGACAAUCCGUAGGCUGGUCUGAGAGGACGACCAGGGCACACUGGGACUGAGACACGGUCCAGACUCCUACGGGAGGCAGCAGUGGGGCAAUAUUGGACCAAUGGGGGCAACCCUUGAAUCCCAGCGACGCCGCAGUGAUGUGCAAGCAAGGCCUGCGGGUUGUAAAGCACUUUUAGUGGGGAUGAAAAGCUCAGGGUUAACACCUCUGGGUCUUGAUCUAACCCACAGAAAAAGCACCGGCUAACUCUGUGCCAGCAGCCGCUGGUAAUACAGAGGGUGCAACGCGUUAAUCGGAAUUACUGGGCGUAAAGCGUGCGUAGACGGUUACAUAAGUCGGGUGUGAAAGCCCCGGGCUCAACCCCGGGAAUUGCAUUCGAGGACUGCGUAGCUUGGGUGCGGAAGAGGGAAGCGGAAUUUCCGGUGUAGCGGUGAAAUGCGUAGAUUCGGAAUGGAACACCAGUGG